CGCAGCCGCGGUAAUUCCAGCUCCAAUAGCGUAUAUUAAAGUUGUUGCAGUUAAAAAGCUCGUAGCUGAAUUUCGGGAUCAAUACGUCGGUCGUGCUUUCGGGUACGUACUGGCGUCAUUGGUUUCUCCUUUCUGACGAACCAUGAUGUCAUUAAUUUGGUGUUAUGGGGAGUUAGGACUGUUACUUUGAAAAAAUUAGAGUGUUUAAAGCAGGCAUUAGCUUGAAUACAUUAGCAUGGAAUAAUGAAAUAGGACGUUCGAUCCUAUUUUGUUGGUUUCUAGGAUCAACGUAAUGAUUAAUAGGGAUAGUUGGGGGCAUUAGUAUUCAAUUGUCAGAGGUGAAAUUCUUGGAUUUAUUGAAGACUAACUACUGCGAAAGCAUUUGCCAAGGAUGUUUUCAUUAAUCAAGAACGAAAGUUAGGGGAUCGAAGACGAUACAGAUACCGUCGUAGUCUUAAACCAUAAACUAUGACCGACUAGGGAUCGGAUGAUGUUAAAUUUUUAAUGUACUC
rnacentral:rRNA from 1 species